GUGGGGAAUAUUGGGCAAUGGGCGCAAGCCUGACCCAGCAACGCCGCGUGAAGGAAGAAGGCUUUCGGGUUGUAAACUUCUUUUACCAGGGACGAAACAAAUGACGGUACCUGGUGAAUAAGCCACGGCUAACUACGUGCCAGCAGCCGCGGUAAUACGUAGGUGGCGAGCGUUAUCCGGAUUUAUUGGGUGUAAAGGGCGUGUAGGCGGGACAGCAAGUCAGAUGUGAAAACCAGAGGCUCAACCUCUGGCCUGCAUUUGAAACUGUUGUUCUUGAGUGUCGGAGAGGUAAUCGGAAUUCCGUGUGUAGCGGUGAAAUGCGUAGAUAUACGGAGGAACACCAGUGGCGAAGGCGGAUUACUGGACGAAAACUGACGCUGAGGCGCGAAAGCCAGGGGAGCGAACGGGAUUAGAUACCCUGGUAGUCC
rnacentral:rRNA from 1 species